UUACUAUACAGCAGUCCCUAAGGAUUCCCUGCAGAUAUAACGAAAGGAGAAUGCUCUCCCCCUCGCCCCUGCUAAAAGGAACAAUAAAAACAUGCAGCCGGCGCUCAGCUGGCCAUGCCGGGCCCUCCUACGGGCCGAUGUCUGGAAUCUGGAGAAAAGAAAGGUGCCCGGCCAAGAGGAGGCCCGGGCGUGAGUGUCCAGCCUGGGUCCCCAGCCUGCCGGGGAAAGGGCCCACGGGAAAAGGAUGGGGACCAAGGAGGAAAGGCCAUGUGAGGACACAGUGAGAAGGUGGCUGUCUACAAGCCAGGAAGAAAGAUCUUACCAGAAGUCAACCCUGAUGACACCUUGAUCUUGGAUUUCCAGCCUCCAGAACUAUAUAACGUAUACUCUUCUGUAUGUGUGAUGAAGAAAAAAAUUAAGACAAAGUCCCACCUUCUCCAAAGAAACAAAGGAAAGAAACCGAACACGAAAGGAGAGAACUGUCUGCAGCUGGUGUGGGACACAUGGGGAUAGGUGGUGCGACUCACACAGCUUUUCUCUCACUGGAUCCUAACUGAAAGCAUGAUUUUGGUAGUCCAGACACUAAAAUAAUGGAGAUACUCCUAAUGGAAGUUGGGGAGAGAAAUAUAUAUGAAGAGAUAAGCCUUUUCCAAAAUUUACUUUAAGAUCCACAAUUCGCAUUGCUCUCUUAUGUGUCAGGCUAUGAUACAGAGUAGAAAAUAGUUUGUCAGACAGGAUUUUUUUGCCUAGCUUUUCACAACCACUAAUCCUGCUAAUACUAUAGAAACAGCAAGAGUCUUUCUAACAUUUGUAAAUCUAGUUGUGACUUUACUCAACUCCACACCCUUAUUUUUACUAAGAUCUGAUUAAGUUUUUUACAACUGUUUUAUAAAUAGGUAUAAUGCUGUUUCUUAAAGCCAAAGUUGUAUCCUAGACAUAGCAAUCUAUUACACAGCAUUAUUACUAUGAAAUGGGCACAAACUUUUAACUAUACCCCAGGAAUGAAUGUAAAAACAAAACUGAGAAUAAGAGCAAAAACAUACACAUACAGGUUCCACUUGUUUAAAACUAAGAAAUGAUAGCUGAAAACGGCUGUAUACAAAAAUCUCAACAUCACACAUUCUCACUGCCUGGCAAUUAUGAGAACAUGUUCAUCAGUAGAACAGAAGAAACACUAUAGUCUCCUAAUACAAACUUAAGAUGCCAGAUGAUUCAGUUACACAGUAUGAGAAACAUCACAAUUCAAACCUUAUCAAUUAAAGUAAAGUCUAAAUAUAUUUAAGUUUCUAAUUAAGAGUUGAGUAUGUUUUUGUAAUUUGCUUUAAAAAAGCACUUUGAUAAUGAAGCUUUAAUAGCCUAAGAGUCUUAAUACAGGUAAAUAAAUAAAUACCUUAAUGUAAAAUUUAGUGAUAUCUUUUUUGCAUUAAACAACUGGCCUGAGACUUAAAAUGGAAUUCAGAACAACUGCACAACACUGAAAAACUGAAUUAACAAAGUACAUAAUGGUUUUCCUUUAUAAUGACGUAAGGGUAUUAAAAUAAUAAUGAAAAGAAUGGUUCAUUACAUACAACAUUGUAAAAUCAGGAUGUAAUGGGGUAAAUGGCAAGAUAGAGAAAAUCAUGUAGAGCCAGGUUGCAAUACAAAUAGUUGUUAUGGUUAAAAGAGCUUUUGGCAUUACAAUUACACAAAUUAGAGUAGUUUCUGCAUAUUUCCAAAAGUCAAGAUUGCACUGGGCCUUAUUUCCUUAUUUUAUACUGUAGAAAAUUUCUAUUUUAACCUAACCUUCUCACACUCCACCUCUCUGAUCUUCAAGAAUCAUGAGUCCUAUCUAAGUGCUUAUUCAAUAUGUAGUGAGGAGGACAUGUUUGAGUAUACUCUAUUACCUUGAACAUAAGCCUUCUGACUGGAUGUUAGAGUCUUUGGUAGUGAAUAAUGAAUAUUCUGAGUUUCUAAUUUUUUUUUCUGUAAAAUGUACUGUUUUUGUGUGACUCUGGAACAUUGCCACACUCCUUUAAAAAUGUAUCAUGUAUCGUUAUCUGAGUAUUGUUUAAUACAGUAAAUUUGAAAACUUUUUGAGUAAACUUCCCUCUAAAAAUCAGUACUAUUUUUUCUCUUAUUCUGUAUCCUUUAGGAGUCUGUAAUAAAAAAU